AUUGAACGCUGGCGGCAGGCCUAACACAUGCAAGUCGAACGAGUGGCGGACGGGUGAGUAAUGUCUGGGAAACUGCCUGAUGGAGGGGGAUAACUACUGGAAACGGUAGCUAAUACCGCAUACCAUCAGAUGUGCCCAGAUGGGAUUAGCUGGUUGGGGGGGUAACGUCUCACCAAGGCGACGAUCCCUAGCUGGUCUGAGAGGAUGACGAGCUAGUAUGGAACUUAGAAACGUCCCAGUGGCCUACGGGAGGCUGCAGUGGGGAAUUUUGCACAAUAGGCGAAAGCCUGAUGCAGUUAUGCCGCUUGUAUGAAGAGUGCCUGCGGGUUGGAAAGUACAUUCAGCGGAGAGGCGUUAACCGCAGAAGAAGCACCGGCUAACUCCGUGCCAGCAGCCGCGGUAAGUC
rnacentral:rRNA from 1 species